CCCGAACCCCCGUGGGGAGAAGGGGCCACAACAUCAUGUCCACCAACAAAACUCAGCAAAGAUUGUUCUUGCUCGGGCUUUUGCUUCUGGAUGUUCGGCAGCGUUGCUGCCACAACGGACCGAAUGGCUUCGCUCGCAUCUUUCUAGCGCACGUCUUCAACUUCGUCGAUCUCAGCCACUCCCUCUGUUCGCUGAUUGGACUGCCAAAUAUUUGAAAACCGGAGAAAACCCAAGAAUAUACCGCAAACCCAGACGGAGUACUGAAGGGAAAUGAAAAUUGAGCGGAAGUACGUAGGAGGGCGGAGUGAGGCUAGUACUGAGCCUUAAUCAGAACAAAUGCAUUUCCUUAUAUGGCUGAUAAUUAUUGCGAUUCAGGCGCAUUCCUAACUUGCACAGUGCUGUGUCAGCGCUGGAGAAACGUCUGGCUGCAUGAGUUGACAUUCUGGGAUAGGAGGAAAAAAACAUUGCGGCUUGUUUGAAUUUCUUUAAACCAAUCACAAUCGCCUUGGGCAGCGCUAAGCUCCAGAUGCAGCGACAGUGCCCUUGCAAAAUAGAUACCGGCGGAGAUAUAGCGGGGAGGGGAAUGCCGACUAAAAUAUGCAGCCAAUGGCAGUCCUUAUCCCAACAGUCUACAUCCGUUUUCCCCACUCACUCGGUGGAUUCAUCCUGCGGCCCCCACUUUGGUUUGGUCAGUGCUCCCGUCUCCCGGCGUAGUGUGUGCGUGAUGUGUAGACGGCCUGCGAGUUCAAAAGCCAUAAACAAAAACAAUAAAGAUAAUAUGAGAAAGCGGAAGCAAAUAUAUCGUCCAUAUUGCUUACAACCGUUCCUGAUCCAGAAGGGAAAGUGAUGUGACAUUGGCAUACAUUACAUUGUGAGUUAAAUGGGAAAAUGUACCGCAAAAUGAAGAAGACACUCAAAACAUUGAGAACAUCCAUAUAUACAGUAGUAUGCUUCGAAUGUGAUAAAAUAGGAAUUCUUGCGCUUUUGAAUUUGCAUUUUGUUGACUGUUGAUUAGGUUCACAAAAGCAUACAGAGGUGUAUUUAAAAAAAAAAAGCCAAAUAUUUAAAUUACAAGAAAAUUUGAAAAACAUGUAAGUGCACCUCAGGUUUCUGCAGUGGUGAUUUGUAGUACAUCAUGUGUUUGUAUGACAUCUAUGCAGAAACGCCCCAAAAUCCUGAUUUAAGGUAUAUUUAAGUAACUUAAAAAUGACUGAAUCUGUGACAUUGUUGAGAAACUGCUUUGAAUAUAAUGCCUUAAUAACUAUUUCGAAUAAAAGCAACAAAAAAAUCCCCACAGCUGAUUCAUCUUCAUCUCUGUGACAGCUGUCAGUCUAGCUGUCCCAGAUGUUUAGUCAGCAGAAAUGUAAGAAUCAAAACAACACGUUGCUAAAAUAAAAGCUUCACCGUAGAACGUCGCAUUUUCAUCUGCUCACAAACAAGAAGCUGUAAAAAAUAAACAUCACAUAAGAAGGCAUUAGCAGGCAUGUCCAGAGAACAAAUUCUGAUGAAGAUGAUGUAAUUCUGAUGCAAAAUAAUGACUCAAUAAAAAACUAUUUUUGUUUAGUCUAA